ensembl:lncRNA
UCCAGAAAUUAUGAAUUGCACUGGUGCUCUACAUGAUCUACAGUCAUCAGGAUCCCACGCCUUUGAAUUAUUGAUUCGGAAUGGUUCAUCAGGGACUAAGAUUUGUAACAAUGAUAACAUGUGCAAAGUGCCCUGGUUAUGUCAGUUUUUUUAGUGCAGUGAUAUAAAUAUGUGAGGUCUUUAUGCAAACAGACCAUUCCGCUGCAAUCUUAUCCCGCCCCCACACCUCAAGUCUGUGUUACCUUAACACACACUACGUUGCACACUGCACAUUGCACAUUCACUUUUGCACUCCUGCGCUGCAUUUUGCAUUUUACCUUCUACUUUACUUUUUUUAUAUAAAUGUGUUAUAUAUUUGUAUCCUAUAUACUGUGUUUUAUCUGAAGUACUUCUCUUAUGUGUAGUACUUAGUGUGUUUUUAUUUUCUGUGUAGUACUUAUUGUGUUUGUAUGUUUUAUGUUUUGUGUAGUACUUAUUGUGUUUGUAUGUUUUAUGUCCACUGUAUGCACCUAUACACCAGAGCAAAUUCCAGGUAGGUGUAAACCUACUUGGCAAUAAAUACAAUUCUGAUUCUGAUUCUGAAUCUAUAUAUUAUAUGUGUAUUAUAAUAACAAAAUGAUUGCAAAAGCAAAACAUUAGCGAACACGGCAAACACUUCUCUUCCAUAAUGCUCUAUGAGAAUAGCAUUACUGGCUGCAUUCUGAGGUUUGAGCUGUGUGGUGCUCUCUGAGUAUUGAUGUCUAUUGAAGUAGCGUACCAUACCUGUAUGUGGGAAGACAAGAAACAUCAGAGCACCGAAGAACGAUUUUCUUGGUGUCAAUCUUUGAGCCAUCUCUGUUUCUUUGUCUUCUCUCCACUGUUUUUCCUCUGUUCUGUUCUAUCUACCUCUCUUAACUUCACACGCGUGUUGAAUCGAAGCAGGUCGGGCCUAGUCCAUUUAGACUGCUUUCUUUUGCCUUUCUUUCAAUUUCUUCUACUCGCUCUUCUCCUCUGAUCACUGUCCCUGAGAGGAGGAAGUGAACCAUACAGACAGAUGUGUUCAGUAUUUUUUUCAUUGUGAAGUAGGAGUUUCCAUUCUACAUCCUGUCACUCUCUUUACCCAUUACAACACACACACACACACACACACAUAUACAGGUACUCUCUCUCUCACUCACUCUCUCUAGGUUGU